rnacentral:rRNA from 1 species
UCUGCCCUUAGGUCGGGGACAACCACUGGAAACGGUGGCUAAUACCGGAUAUACCUGACGGUGAAAGAUUAAUUGCCAGAGGAGGAGCUCGCGUCUGAUUAGCUAGUUGGUGGGGUAAAAGCCUACCAAGGCGACGAUCAGUAGCUGGUCUGAGAGGACGAUCAGCCACACUGGAACUGAGACACGGUCCAGACUCCUACGGGAGGCAGCAGUGGGGAAUUUUCCGCAAUGGGCGAAAGCCUGACGGAGCAAUACCGCGUGAGGGAGGAAGGCUCUUGGGUUGUAAACCUCUUUUCUCAGGGAAGAACAAAUGACGGUACCUGAGGAAUCAGCAUCGGCUAACUCCGUGCCAGCAGCCGCGGUAAUACGGAGGAUGCAAGCGUUAUCCGGAAUGAUUGGGCGUAAAGCGUCCGCAGGUGGCAUUGAAAGUCUGCUGUCAAAGAGUCUGGCUCAACCAGAUAAAGGCAGUGGAAACUACAAAGCUAGAGUACGUUCGGGGCAGAGGGAAUUCCUGGUGUAGCGGUGAAAUGCGUAGAGAUCAGGAAGAACACCGGUGGCGAAAGCGCUCUGCUAGGCCGUAACUGACACUGAGGGACGAAAGC